rnacentral:rRNA from 1 species
GACAGAGGGUGCAAACGUUGUUCGGAAUUACUGGGCGUAAAGCGCGUGUAGGCGGCUAUGUAAGUCGGGCGUGAAAUCCCUCGGCUCAACCGGGGAACUGCGUCUGAUACUGGCGGGCUUGAAUUCGGGAGAGGGAUGUGGAAUUCCAGGUGUAGCGGUGAAAUGCGUAGAUAUCUGGAGGAACACCGGUGGCGAAGGCGGCAUCCUGGACCGACAUUGACGCUGAGGCGCGAAAGCCAGGGGAGCAAACGGG